AGAGUUUGAUCAUGGCUCAGAAUGAACGCUGGCGGCGUGCCUAACACAUGCAAGUCGAGCGGUAAGGCCCCUUCGGGGGUACACGAGCGGCGAACGGGUGAGUAACGCGUGGGUAAUCUACCUAGAAGUGGGGGAUAGCUUCGGGAAACCGAAGGUAAUACCGCAUGUGCCCCGACCAACGCGAGUUGGACGGGUGAAAGAUGGGGAUCUUCGGACCUGUCGCUUCUGGAUGAGCCCGCGUCCGAUUAGCUAGUUGGUGAGGUAAUGGCUCACCAAGGCAUCGAUCGGUAGCCGGCCUGAGAGGGUGAUCGGCCACAUUGGGACUGAGACACGGCCCAGACUCCUACGGGAGGCAGCAGUGGGGAAUUUUGGGCAAUGGGGGAAACCCUGACCCAGCGACGCCGCGUGGAGGAUGAAGGUCUUCGGAUUGUAAACUCCUGUCAGGUGGGAAGAAGAUCGUCGGGUUAAUAGCCCGGAUGAUUUGACUGUACCACCAAAGGAAGCCCCGGCUAACUCCGUGCCAGCAGCCGCGGUAAUACGGAGGGGGCAAGCGUUGUUCGGAUUUACUGGGCGUAAAGCGCACGUAGGCGGCAAGGUAAGUC
rnacentral:rRNA from 1 species